GUAUAAGCAGUAUUCUUCUUUAUAUUUCUAUGCCGAUGCUAGAAAUGUAAAGAAGAAUACUGCUGAUAC
rnacentral:pre_miRNA from 1 species